rnacentral:lncRNA from 1 species
UUUUUCUUUUCUUUUCUUUUUCUUUUUUUUGAAGACUAAUGCAGGAAAGCGUUUUUAAAAAGCCCCUUUCUGUUUGUGAGAGAGUAACAAUUAAAAAAAAUAUUAUGGAGGCCUUAUUUUUCAAAAUGUGAAAUAUAAGGCACAUGUUCACACUAAAAUUACAAAACAAAAAUGAGAGGGCAUAGAUGCAAUCAUUGGGAAAUUUUCAUGCACGCUUACUAUGUUAUUACAUAUGUUUAUAUAAACCCAUCUCUGUGUGCUUUCUGGACUGUGAUAAGUGACGUUUUAUAGCCUGUUGUAUAGAAAAUGCAAAAUAUAUCUCUGCUCUUCAGCCAUUUUUGGUAAAUUCAAUGUUAUAAGUGUUGCUAAGUAUAGGGAGUUUUAUGACAUCGGAGCAACAAUUAUUUCAGACAGAUUUUUUUGCCGACAUUAUAAAUUGCCACAAUUACUUACUUUUUUAAACUAAAAUUACAGUGUAGUGUUUAUUCUAAGAAAGAUAUGUAUGAAUGUAUAUAAAAAGACUCAGCUACUUCUUUUCUUACAUAUAUAGCCUUCAUUCUGUUGCAUUAUUAAGUUUUAGUAAUUGUAUGAAAGGUGUGAAUUAGAAGGUGAAAUAUAUACCUAAGUAUCAGAUAAAACUUUCUCUUUCCCAAAUACUCAUAUGUCUAUAUGUGUUUAACAUUCACACACAUACACACACACACACACACACACACACACACACACAAAUACACAUACACAGGCAGCCAUCAGAUAUGAUGGAAUACCAAAACACACAAAUACUGACAAAUUGAAAAUGUGAAGUUAGACAGUUGUGCCAAGGUAUUAUAACAAAUCGGUGAUUUGCUUCAUUGAGAUUCUGAUUCCAGGAGACCUUGAAUUCUUAGUCCCUAGUAAAAUGGAACGUUUAUUUUAAACGAAAGAGAUCCAUCACCAUACAUGGCUGCAUAAAUAUGCAUCACUCAACAGGCAUUACAUAAAUAAUGUUGGUUUACUCUGGCUGCUGCAAUGGAAAACAUUUUUCCCAUAAAUUUAUAGAUAUUCUCUGAACAUGGUGUGUGUGAUCAAGCUUUAUGGAAAGUAAGCAUUUUCUCAACUAAAAAAGUAUUCUCAGUAAUUUUUGAUUCUGUAUUACUACCCACUAAAAUCAUUCUCUAUUUGUUGACUAUUGACUUAAUUUUAACUUUUCUGGUUUUACAUCUAUAUACUUAAACAUAGUUUUAGUUUAACACACACUGUGUAGUAGUGAAGUAUAGGUUACUCACUUGUUUUGCAUAAUGUUUGAAUGAUGUUCAUAGCAAUAAAUUAUCAAGGUGAGAAAAUAAUUUUUAGGUUGCAGGGUGAUGCCUCUGUAAAAAUUGAUCACAUGACAUAAACAUCUAAAAGAAUAAUUCUUGGUUUCAUAAAAGAGAAAGAUAUCACUAAUCUGCUUUAAUCAACAAGGCAAAAAAAUGCAAAACAUCUUUUGUGAUAAUUUAGUUGAUGAAAAACAUGCCGAGAUGUGGCCUGGAUUUCAGACACAACACUACCUUAGAAAUACAUAGAUAUCAUAGCAAAUCACUAUGAGGUACAGCUGCCAAGAAAUUGUGUAAUAAGUCUUAAAGGCUUUUCAUCACCCAAAAAAUAGAUGGCACGAAGUUAAAAUUCAGUACCCAUUUCUUCUCUUUCAAGUCUUCAUAUAUAUUUAAUUUGCCAGGUUAAAAGAUCUUACAAGUCUUUUUACCUACCCCUCUCAUUCAGUCUUACUCAGGAAAAGCCAGAGAAAUAAAAAGGAACAUAAAACCACCAAUUUACAUAUCUAUAUUGAUAUAGAUAGAAAUAUAUAUUCCAUUGUAUCUAUUUAACAUAAACUAGUUUCAUCUGAACAGAUUAUAAAAGAUGGUGGAAAACUAAAUUGAAUUGUUACUUUUUAAAUGGUAUAUCUGGGAGGCUUGUUGUUUAAAAUUGAUUUCAGUGUUUCUUCCCAGCAAGAAAUUUAAAAUCUCAUUCAUUGAUAAAAACUGAUAAUGCUGGUAAAAAAUAUGUAUCUAAUUUUACUGACCUACACAAAACUUAGCAGGAUUCCCCCCCCAACCCCCCCCCCCCCGAAUGUAGAAGGCAAAGAGAGGAUGCUGAUGUUUUGAAGGAAAAAGACUUGAAUCCAACCCAAGUAUCUUUAUACUAAACAUAUCAGGUUCCGUGUGUCACUUGCAGCUCACAGAAGUUUUCACACUACCUGGCAUAAACUGACUACAUCGAUUGUAACAUUUUUGUUUGAGUAUGCUUCUUUUUUUAUCCAUGUAAUGUGUUGCCUUUAAAAACAAAAAUGAUGACUAAAAUAAUGUGUGAGGUGGUUCAUCCCUAAGAAGUCAACGGAAGGUCACUUCAAUCGUACCCUUCUAGUGCUUCUAAUGACUGAAUAUCUAAGGGGUUUGUUUUGUUUUGUUUUUCUGUUGCAAGGCCAAUUUAUCCAUUAUUGGAAAUGCUAAACAAGUGGAAUUUACUGUUUUGUUAAUAAAAUAUUUCUUAAUACAACUGUGGUUUGUUGACUUUAAAAAUUGCACAUGACAGCAAUUUGCCACUGAAUAUAACAAUGAAGAAGAAUGCAUUUGAAAGGAGAUCUUAUCCCCAGACACACACAGGAAAAGAUGCUGUCACACCCCUUUCAGCAUUUUACUACUUAAUCAGUCCCUCUGCUUGUACACUUAAGAUGCAGGCACUCCAUGUAGCUUUCAUGGAAAAUUACAGAACUAGCAGAGAAUAAUACGAAUAUAUGCUGAUGUCAUAAAUACACUCUCUGUAAGUUACAAUGGGAUUAAAGUUAAAUACACCUGUAAUUAACU